rnacentral:misc_RNA from 1 species
AACGCACAUUGCGCCCUUUGGUAUUCCGAGGGGCAUGCCUGUUCGAGCGUCAUUUCAACCUCUCAAGCUCAGCUUGGUGUUGGGCCGCGCCGGUGCACUGCGCUGGCGGGCCCUAAAAUCAGUGGCGGUGCCGUCCUGGCUCUAAGCGUAGUAACAUCUCUCGCUCUGGAGACCUGGCGGUGUCUUGCCAGACAAUUUUUAUCUUUUUUCAAGAGUUUGACCUCGGAUCAGGUAGGGAUACCCGCUGAACUUAA